CCCCCGCCGCAGGACAGUUGCAAAAGGGGAAAGGAAAAAAAAAAAACAAAAACACAAACAUAUCACACACAGAAAAGACAGAGAAAAAUCCACUCGGAAAAAGAACCUGUUGCAUUUCCCGCUCCCCCGCCGUCGGAGGGCGGUGCGGGCACGUCGCUCGGCGGGCGGGUACAGCGCUGCGCGCCGCGGGGGCGGUCGGGGCGGCCGCCCCCGGCCCCGGAGCCCGGCCGGCCUUUGCACUCCGUCGCGCCGCCCGCCCCGGACUGCGCCCCGGCGGAGCGGGUGUCCCGCGGGUGAGCCGCGGGGCAGGGCGCUGCGCUCCUCGGCCUGCGGAGGAGCUCUUCCUCCUCCCCAGCAGAAAGGCAACCCCCCCCCCCACAAUCCACCCCCCCUUCGCAUCCCUCCGCGGCCCUUCAGAGACUGGCGUUCAUCACUCUGUGGACAAAGUUAGUUCCCCGAUGUUUGUGGAGAUGUGGAAAUUAAGCUAUGCUCUGCUCAAAGAAGCCCCCGGAGCCCCGUCCCCCACGUCCCCGCGCCUCUCCCUCCCCUCGCUCCAAGCUUUCCCUCUCGUUUCCAUCAUAGAAUGCUUCCAAUCUUUUUUUGUGAAUUUUUUUAUUAUAAGAAAAUCUAUUUGUAUCUAUCCUACCCAGUUUUGGGUAUAUAUUAAGCUAUUUUUGUACAUAAGAGAGAGAGAGAUUUAUAGAGGUUUUGUACAAAUGGUUUAAAAUGUGUAUAUCUUGAUACUUUUUUUAAUAUGUAAUGCUUAUUACCUCUUCAUGUUUAGACUUGUAGUCGACGUUAACUUACAACUGCCAUUUUUGUAUGUGGUUUUGUAAAGGACUUGGAUUUCCUCCAGAUGUACUUUAGCACCAACGUGUCUUACUUUAUAGAAACUUUGUUAAUGUAUUAAUAAUGUUAUUAAACAAUGUUCAAAGUGAACAAAGUUUAUGCAGCUAUUGUCCAAACGCAAAAUGGUAGCCAUUUGUUUAUAUAUGCUGCCUUUGAAAAAAAAAAAUACACAAGCAAACAAACAAACAAAACCCCCUAAUGCCACUGCCUUUUCUUACUGUUUUAUUACAAACUUACAAAGGUCCUGUAUAACUGUUUUAUACAAACUAGUUUCGUAAUAAAACUUUUUUUAAUUAAAUGAUCGGCUGCCUA
rnacentral:lncRNA from 1 species